UAUUAAACAUAUUUUUAAUUUAUGCAUUGCCUACGUCACUCGGACAUCCGGAGAGCACAGGGAAAUGAGCUAAGCACCAUCUGAGUACUCGUAAGUGCGCGUGAGUACUCGUAUGUAUUCGGAUCAUUAAGCUUAGCUGCAGCUCAACUUCAAGUCUACAAAGUCUUAAUAAGUUUCCAUAAUAUCUAAAAGGUCGGCUAACGAAUCAUCGCCCAGUCAUUAAUAAGACUGAUUCGAACCGCUUUGUUGCAGUUACAACUCGCUCAGCGCCGGCUCGUCUGGUCGGAUCGUAAUAGGCAGUUGCUCGGCUGUUCGCCUGGUUGGCUGUUCGCCUGGUUGGCUGUUCGCCUGGUUGGCUGUUUGCUGACGUUGUUGUUGGACUGCUGGACUGUGCGGCAAGUGUGACA